UGACGUAGGUAAAAUUCUCAUUCGAAACAGGCGCUUUCUGAACUUCUCAACCAACUCAUGGAAGAGUUUUCUCUUCUUCAAUAAGCCGUUUAAUUAAUUGUUGUGGUGAAACUGGAGCUGUUGGAAAAUAUCACAAAACUUUAUCAUUUAUGCAUCAAUCAAACAAUUUAAUUCAAUUUAUUUAAUUGGAUUUGUGAAGUUAAUUUUGGGCGACGCAAGUAUACCCAUUUACAUGAUAUAUCAUCGUCGUAUUAUUUGCCAUUCAUAUAUGGCUGAAAACAAUCCGUAGGAGGUUCAAAUAAUCCAUAGACUGUUUGUUAAACAAUGAUUGACUUUUUUGGGUGGCUGUAAACAAUCAUAUACAGUUUGUAAACAAUCCAAAUAAUGGCAAGUAUGGUUUGAAUAUAUGUUAGGAAUGUA